GAACGAUGUAUGAACCCGCGCGGACCACCGCGCAAGGCUAAAUACUAGUUGGCGACCGAUAGUGAACAAGUACCGCGAGGGAAAGGUGAAAAGAACCGCUGUGAGCGGAGUGAAAUAGAACCUGAAACCGUAUGUCUACAAAGUGUCAGAGCAGAGCAAUCUGCGAUGGCGUGCCUUUUGUUUAAUGAGUCUGCGAGUCAGUGUUUGUGGCAAGACUAAGGGCUUCCGGCCCGGAGUCGCAGCGAAAGCAAGUCCGAACAGGGCGCAAUAAGUCGCAG
rnacentral:rRNA from 1 species